CCAUAUAGCUCAGCGGUAGAGCAACCGGCUGUUAACCGGUUGGUCGCAAGUUCGAUCCUUGCUGUGGC
rnacentral:tRNA from 1 species